rnacentral:snRNA from 1 species
GUCAUUCACUGGCAGGGGAGUUACUGUGAUCACGAAGGUGGUUUCCCCGGGGUGAGGCUCAUCCAUUGCACUGCGGAUGUGCUUGACCCCUGUGAUUUCCUGAAAUGUGGGAAACUCCACUGCAUAAUUUGUGUUAGUGGCGGACUGUGUGUGCACUCUCCCCUG